rnacentral:rRNA from 1 species
GGGGUGCAGCAGGCGCGAAACCUCCGCAAUGUACGAAAGUGCGACGGGGGGAUCCCAAGUGUUAUGCUUCUUUGUAUGACUUUUCAUUAGUGUAAAAAGCUUUUAGAAUAAGAGCUGGGCAAGACCGGUGCCAGCCGCCGCGGUAACACCGGCAGCUCGAGUGGUAGCUGUUUUUAUUGGGCCUAAAGCGUUCGUAGCCGGUUUGAUAAGUCUUUGGUGAAAGCUUGUAGCUUAACUAUAAGAAUUGCUGGAGAUACUAUUAGACUUGAAGUCGGGAGAGGUUAGAGGUACUACCGGGGUAGGGGUGAAAUCCUAUAAUCCUGGGAGGACCACCUGUGGCGAAGGCGUCUAACUGGAACGAUCUUGACAGUGAGUAACGAAAGCCAGGGGCGCGAACCGGAUUAGAUACCCGGGUAGUCCUGGCCGUAAACGAUGUGGACUUGGUGUUGGAAUGGCUUUGAGUUGUUCCGGUGCCGAAGGGAAGCUGUUAAGUCCACCGCCUGGGAAGUACGGUCGCAAGACUGAAACUUAA